rnacentral:rRNA from 1 species
AAGCUAUCGCUUUUGGAUGGACCCGCGGCGUAUUAGCUAGUUGGUGAGGUAACGGCUCACCAAGGCGAUGAUACGUAGCCGAACUGAGAGGUUGAUCGGCCACAUUGGGACUGAGACACGGCCCAAACUCCUACGGGAGGCAGCAGUAGGGAAUCUUCCACAAUGGACGCAAGUCUGAUGGAGCAACGCCGCGUGAGUGAAGAAGGCUUUCGGGUCGUAAAACUCUGUUGUUGGAGAAGAAUGGUCGGCAGAGUAACUGUUGUCGGCGUGACGGUAUCCAACCAGAAAGCCACGGCUAACUACGUGCCAGCAGCCGCGGUAAUACGUAGGUGGCAAGCGUUAUCCGGAUUUAUUGGGCGUAAAGCGAGCGCAGGCGGUUUUUUAAGUCUGAUGUGAAAGCCCUCGGCUUAACCGAGGAAGCGCAUCGGAAACUGGGAAACUUGAGUGCAGAAGAGGACAGUGGAACUCCAUGUGUAGCGGUGAAAUGCGUAGAUAUAUGGAAGAACACCAGUGGCGAAGGCGGCUGUCUGGUCUGUAACUGACGCUGAGGCUCGAAAGCAUGGGUAGCGAACAGGAUUAGAUACCCUGGUAGUCCAUGCCGUAAACGAUGAAUGCUAGGUGUUGGAGGGUUUCCGCCCUUCAGUGCCGCAGCUAACGCAUUAAGCAUUCCGCCUGGGGAGUACGACCGCAAGGUUGAAACUCAAAGGAAUUGACGGGGGCCCGCACAAGCGGUGGAGCAUGUGGUUUAAUUCGAAGCAACGCGAAGAACCUUACCAGGUCUUGACAUCUUUUGAUCACCUGAGAGAUCAGGUUUCCCCUUCGGGGGCAAAAUGACAGGUGGUGCAUGGUUGUCGUCAGCUCGUGUCGUGAGAUGUUGGGUUAAGUCCCGCAACGAGCGCAACCCUUAUGACUAGUUGCCAGCAUUGAGUUGGGCACUCUAGUAAGACUGCCGGUGACAAACCGGAGGAAGGUGGGGAUGACGUCAAAUCAUCAUGCCCCUUAUGACCUGGGCUACACACGUGCUACAAUGGAUGGUACAACGAGUUGCGAGACCGCGAGGUCAAGCUAAUCUCUUAAAGCCAUUCUCAGUUCGGACUGUAGGCUGCAACUCGCCUACACGAAGUCGGAAUCGCUAGUAAUCGCGGAUCAGCACGCCGCGGUGAAUACGUUCCCGGGCCUUGUACACACCGCCCGUCACACCAUGAGAGUUUGUAACACCCGAAGCCGGUGGCGUAACCCUUUUAGGGAGCGAGCCGUCUAAGGUGGGACAAAUGAUUAGGGUGAAGUCGUAACAAGGUAGCCGUAGGAGAACCUGCGGCUGGAUCACCUCCUUU